rnacentral:snoRNA from 1 species
CCUCUUGACUAUGAAGGGCUGGUGUCCUAUAUCUUGACUGGAUUGGACCUUGAGUUCAACCUGGUCAUCUCUGCAGUUUUGGCGCGUGUGGAGCCAAUCACCGUCACAGAGCUCUACACCCAGUUGCUCUCCUUUGAGC